rnacentral:RNase_P_RNA from 2 species
GCAGAUCCAAGGCCGCGAAGCUCGCCCCGCACAGGGCUCGCCCUCCCUCGCGAGCGGGCCAAGGUCUGAGUGACGCACCCCCGACGGCUCCAGCCGAGCCCGACCCUAGCUGUAACCAGCCGCGCGGCGUACCAGAAACGCCCCCAGCAACGGCCUUCAUCCGUCUGCGACCCCACGGAGGGACAAGGGCGGAGGGGAACCCGAAGACAUCCCUCCAAGCCGUCGAUCCGGAUCGAGUGGACGAGGGCCCCGGUGGCGCUGGGCUUGCAAGGCGCCGCGGUGCCCGGGCGCGCGACCGCCGAUCUGCGCUUGUGCGAUCCUCCGCCGAGCCCCUCGUGGGUCGCGGGCGUGCGGGGGACAGUAUGGCGGCGCCUUGGGACUACCACUAGUUUCUUUGGUGCCGCCAACAGCCUGCCCCUCGCCGCGAAGGACUGCGAAAGUGCUGUGAUGCCGCUUCUAUAGCCGAGCUCAAGAUGCAUUCCGUCCUUUGGCUCCACACUCGUGCAGAUCGGUGCGCGCCCUUGAGUGCAAUUCGCGGCUCACUCCCUGCAGCAGCGCACUGGUAUAGUCGCUGCGGUGUGCUCUAUGUGCACCGCUAUGCGUCUAUACGCGCUGCGGCAAGUGAAACUCGAUUCAGACUACUCUGGGUCUGC